rnacentral:tRNA from 1 species
GAGGGGAUAUCUCAGUGGUAGAGCACAUGCUUAACAUGCACAAGGUCCUGGGUUCAAGUCCCAGUACCUCCA